rnacentral:misc_RNA from 1 species
GGCUAGGCGGGUUGCUUGUCCGAUCCUCGGUGGCUCCUUUCCCGGGGGGUGUCGUCGUUGUGUCGGACGCAUCUUGUCUAGUGUUGGGACGGCGCAUGAGUGGCGUUUAGGAUACGUUCUGCGGCAGGCUCCGUGUUUCGGCAUCGAACUGCUGCGGUCUAUUCGUUUCAUCAUUUGGAUCGCCUCGAUGCCUUCGUGCUCGUUCGCGACUCCUCGUUGGGUUCCUGUGUUGGUUAUCCGGAUGCGGCAGUAGGAUGAAAUGUUGGUCCCGUCAUGGUUCACCCGAUCCUCCUUCGCCUCUGGGGCGUUGGAUGGUAACGUGCGGGCGUCKUCGUUGUUCGCUCGAUCCGUCGUCUUCCUUUGGGCGCUUCGGGUCGCGUCGACACGUAGAUGCCGUCGCCACACUCUCGGGUACGGUAUUCUCGUUGGUGAUCGCAUCGGGUGGCUUCGUCCGUCCUUUGCGAUCGGUCCUUGUCGAAGCGCUAUCGCUUUCGCUCGUGUGACCCUCGUGCCUGCCCAAGCGUUCGCGGAGCUCCCUCGUUCCGCUUUCGUCUUGGGCUAGGCGUCGAGGUCUACAAAGGAAUGCUACCUGGUUGAUCCUGCC